GCCACUCUCUUUAACUGGAUGGUGACGUCGCAGGAUUUAUUUAUUGCUGGGGCUGGGAUGUGGUGGCCGUGCUCAGCUCUCACAGUCAACACCAGCACAGUGUACCCUCUGAGCCCACACUCCUUCCCCCAGGACCUGUUUGGUAACUGGUUGGUAAUACACCAGGAAAACAAACAAACAAACCAGGACUCACAUUUGCCCCUCUAUGGCAAGGGCAGGACAUGUUGGAACUCCAUAAGCCCCAGAGGCUGGGAGGUCAGUGUGGUGGGACCAAGAAAGGCUCCCAGCUGGAGCCCCCUUGCCUUGGGAGAGUCUCUGCACACUGCAAGGAGCAUGGGGUGGAUGCAUUCAGCUUCAGCACAACCACAUCCUCUCAAAGAUGGGCCUGAACUUGCCUUUAAGGUUGGAACCUCAAGCUGCUAAGAGAGAGGAGAGCAACACACAGGGUUUAUGUGAAUCAUCAAAAACUCCUAAUUUUAUGCAGUUCAGCUUAAUGUGGUCCUACUUGCCUUUGUCUAGGCAAGUACAUAGUGUAGAUAUGAUUAUUUUGCAGUAAGUUUGCCUGCUUAUUCUCUGCUUUAUCCCUGAAGCUGCAUUCUCCUUUCGGAGUCGGCAGCUCCCAGGGAGGGGGUGCUAACAGCAGCUUCCUCUUGGCAGAAACCAUCAUUUGGAUAAGUCACAAACCACACUUGUGAAGCCCUAAGAAACAGUAAAAUGAAGAUUUUACCACUCGGAUGUACCCUAGCAGUGAAGUCAGACCUGUUACACCAUCACAGACCUUUGCUUCUGAAAAAUUCCAGCGUUGUAAUCUGAGGGAUUGCCAAGGGACUGCCGUGCUGCUCUUUGUACUCAGCCUAACCCACAGAACAGCUCUGCACUCCUGGUUUUCUAGGAACUCUUCAGAUCACCUCAGGGAAGCGAGUGCAAGGAUCCUCCACAAAGUCCCAUUGACUAAGAUUUUUCUCAGAUGGAUUUUUCUCAGAUUUUCCAUCCUCAGAACACGUCUUUUUGAGGUACAUAGUGAAGAGAUUAUGGGAUUAUUUCCACAUUUUGGGGACUAUUUCUGGCAGCACUCAAUCAGACCUUGCUUCCAGCUCCCCGCGUCAGCUCCAUAAAUGCACAGAAGUAAAUCUGAACAACAGCGGCAAGCAAGCAAUCUACCUACAACUAAAAUGAAGGGGGAAAAGUUUGUGCAAUGCUGUUCCAAGAAAUCUACUUUUGCACUUCUGUGGAGGCAGCUCAGGUAAAAAAAAAUAUAUUUGCAUUUCCCUUGCCAUCUACUGCUAGCCACAGUGUUUAUAGCUGACAUAUAACUGACACUGGCCCCAAAACUGACCAGGCUCCCAGCAUUUUACUUGCAGUACAUGCAAUUCUGGACCUACAGAAGUGAAAACAUCAAAUCUCAGCUGCAAAGCACAGUGGGAUUGCUUUCACUACACUGAGGAAUUAAACACUGCUCCUUCUGUAUGUAUUCCAACUGAGAGACAUCGAGUCCCCAGCCUAGAGAAACAUCACCUGCCCAGUGGUCCCAAGUGAUGGAAGUAUGGGGUGGUUAACAUAGGGAACUCCCUGCAAGGCCAGAGAGUUGAUUUAGCUUCACUUCUGUGAAGUACACAAUCAGAAUAUUUUGUUGUGGUUUUAACUGCUUCCAAUCAAGUAUUUUAAUUCAAAAUAUUUUUUCCCUGAGAUUAAUAGUAACACUGAACAAGUGACACUGUUGCGUGCACAAGAAGAGUGCUGUGUGAAGGGUAUUUGCUUCUACUCCAUCCCCACCUAUCAAAAUGCCAGGAAGAAAGUAUAAUUAAUCAACAUUUUAUUUAACAAAAAGAUCAGUUAUCCAACAUUUAAUGAUAUCAAAUGCCAAAAAUAGUUCACUGCUUUUUCUUUAACAACUGUAUUAAAAACCAACACAAAAUGUUUUUGCCCAAUCAAAAUAUCAGUCUCUAGAGAGCAUCUCAGGGAGCUUACAACCCAGAUGUACAGAUGAAGAAAAGCAAGAAACUAGACACAAAGCAUAUAAUGAAACACAACUCCCUUUCUACGUGUCUUUGACAGUGUUGCACUAUACCUAUUUGUGCUCUUUACAUGUAAUGUAGUGAGGGGGGAAAUCAUACAGCUUUCCAGAAGAAAAAAAAAAAAAAAAAAAGGCUAUUUAGUGUAUUUUUAUAUUAAACAGCUACAGCUACAUUUAGAGCUUUCAUGGGUGAUUGUAUUAAAAGUUCAUCAUCUAAACAGCACUCCCAGGGCUCAUCUGAUAUAUCGAGGGAUAUGCCAGAACAUUUGCAGGUGUAAACAGGGUCUGUUCCUUGAGUCUGUCACUGUCUUUUUGUUUGUUCACCAUGCCAGGCUGCUCUGCUGCACCAGCUCCUCGUGGCUCCUGAGCCUAACAAUUCCCAAAAUAGGAGGCAGAAGCCCAACACAGAAUCGAUUGUAUCCAGUAUUUAUGACACUAUUUGGACCCCGUAAUACAAAUAUUUAAAGUCUAACAAAACUAUAAAGUUGCAACUAUAAACGUUUGGGAAUCACCCCCUAAAACAGUGAACAGUGUUUUAACAGGCCAGCAAGAAAAGCUGAAGUUAUUAAAUAUAACAGAGGGUGGCAAACUCAUUUCAUGAAGUAAUAACCCACCCCUCACAUGGAUACAGUUCUAGGCCUGUUCACUUCACAGCUUAGGAAAUUUUGCAAUGGCACCGUAAUCAUUUACGUGUUCUGCAAUUUGCAAAUCAAGAGCUCCCACUGGCAAAUAUUUCUCUGAGUUUGUUCCGUUAUUGGAGAGAGUGCUCAUCCCUUCUGAAAGGAAAUGGGAUCAACUACUGACAACUUUUAGUUAUUUUCAUGGGGAAUAUUUUCUGAUUGGUUCUCCUGCAGAAAUAUUUCGGAUACGGCGUGUUUCUCAAAAUUCUUUUUAAGGCACUCUGUAAGUGUCUCCCCUCCACACAUCCAGGUAACUUUGUAUUGAUCCACAGACCACACGCUUCACGAUGUUUGGCAGUACACUCUACCAGGUUACGCAUCCUCUCUUAAGGCACUUAAGACUGCUUUUUAUUUUUACAUACACCUAACAAUUCCAACUGAAGAAUCUCCUCCUGUUUCAACAGUCUGCCCAGCACACAUGCAUGGGCACACACAGGCUGAGCACUAACCUUACAGAAACACACUUGCUUAAACCCCUCCCAGUACACAUGUCCUAAGAGUAGGCCAGCUCAGU
rnacentral:lncRNA from 1 species